AGAAGGAAAGCAGGGAUUAUAGUGGGGGUCAAGGUCAAGAGGUCACAGAUCAAGAACAACACAAAGGUUACUAACGUUAGCAAAGUCACUAGGGCUCUAUAAUACAUGCUUUGUACUUACUCCUAAUCAUACUCUUAAGAGGAUUAUUAUAUAACAUACGUGUUAUAAUCAUACCCCAAUCAUAUUUAUUUAUUGGGCUUAAUACAUGCUAAUUGGUACAGUAAAAUAAUCUGAAUUAGGGGAUGAUCAUUGCAUUGUUCACUGUUUAUCUUGAAAUUCUGGUUUGAUUGACAAUGUUCUCUCAUCAUAUUGCAUUUGGUUGCAAAUGAAUGUACUACAUAUUACUCAGGCAGGUAUUAAUGAAUGUACUACAUAUUACUCAGGCAGGUAUUAAUGAAUGUACUACAUACUACUCAGGCAGGUAUUAAUGAAUGUACUACAUACUACUCAGGCAGGUAUUAAUGAAUGUACUACAUACUACUCAGGCAGGUAUUAAUGAAUGUACUACAUACUACUCAGGCAGGUAUUAAUGAAUGUACUACAUACUACUCAGGCAGGUAUUAAUGAAUGUACUACAUACUACUCAGGCAGGUAUUAAUGAAUGUACUAUAUACUACUCAGGCAGGUAUUAAUGAAUGUACUAUAUACUACUCAGGCAGGUAUUAAUGAAUGUACUAUAUACUACUCAGGCAGGUAUUAAUGAAUGUACUACAUAUUACUCAGGCAGGUAUUAAUGAAUGUACUACAUAUUACUCAGGCAGGUAUUAAUGAAUGUACUACAUACUACUCAGGCAUGUAUUAAUGAAUGUACUACAUACUACUCAGGCAUGUAUUAAUGAAUGUAGUACAUAUUACUCAGGCAGGUAUUAAUGAAUGUACUACAUACUACUCAGGCAGGUAUUAAUGAAUGUAGUACAUAUUACUCAGGCAGGUAUUAAUGAAUGUACUACAUACUACUCAGGCAUGUAUUAAUGAACAUGCUACAUAUUACUCAGGCAGGUAUUAAUGAAUGUACUACAUACUACUCAGGCAGGUAUUAAUGAAUGUACUACAUACUACUCAGGCAGGUAUUAAUGAAUGUACUACAUACUACUCAGGCAGGUAUUAAUGAAUGUACUACAUACUACUCAGGCAGGUAUUAAUGAAUGUACUGCAUAUUACCCAGGCAGGUAUUAAGCCACACUGGACAUUCAAA